AUUGAACGCCGGCGGCAGGCCUAACACAUGCAAGUCGAGCGGCAGCGGGAAAGUAGCUUGCUACUUUUGCCGGCGAGCGGCGGACGGGUGAGUAAUGCCUGGGGAUCUGCCCAGUCGAGGGGGAUAACUACUGGAAACGGUAGCUAAUACCGCAUACGCCCUACGGGGGAAAGCAGGGGACCUUCGGGCCUUGCGCGAUUGGAUGAACCCAGGUGGGAUUAGCUAGUUGGUGAGGUAAUGGCUCACCAAGGCGACGAUCCCUAGCUGGUCUGGGAGGAUGAUCAGCCACACUGGAACUGAGACACGGUCCAGACUCCUACGGGAGGCAGCAGUGGGGAAUAUUGCACAAUGGGGGAAACCCUGAUGCAGCCAUGCCGCGUGUGUGAAGAAGGCCUUCGGGUUGUAAAGCACUUUCAGCGAGGAGGAAAGGUUGGUAGCUAAUAACUGCCAGCUGUGACGUUACUCGCAGAAGAAGCACCGGCUAACUCCGUGCCAGCCGCCGCAGUAAAAC
rnacentral:rRNA from 1 species